CAAGUUCACUAGAACUCGGUUUGUUUUUAUUUAUAUCUUAUCCUUUAACAGUUGUUUGCCAUAACGAUUUGUAUGGAAAUUCUAUACGGAUUUUCAUCUGCUCCUUCAGUCGCCUCUAAGAAUUCCAAGCGAAAUAUGCAUUUACCUAUUUUUACUCGAUUUUAAUAUGUAUUACAAGUUUUGGCAGGUACGCUAGUAACAUUAUGUAAUCGCACGCAAUUCGCAUGGGGAUCUCAAAGCCAAUGUCAAGUAUUAACCAGUCACGUGCGCUCAUUAAAGCAAACCUAGUAAAAUGAAGCCAACAAAAUAAACGCGUCCCAUUGUAUUUUUACUGAGGCAUAAGCCAAGAAAAGCCACCUUCUCCCACGUUUUCCAAUCGGAUUAUGUAAAAACAUGUUCGCAACAACAUGCAACGCUGAUCAAUCGAAGUGGACGUUUUUGGCACCGUGGAGAAGAAAAUGUUUUGUUGCAUUUUCAGUUGCAGAAUGCACCUUUCGCGUUUUUUUCUCAAGUCAAUUGAGACACUAAUAAAAUAGAUGCAUUGAAGAAGUAUAAUUUUUUCAAUUAAUUCGUCAUAAUUAUAUGCCAAUCAGUUCCACCAAAUGAUCAAAACGCCACCAGAAUGUAUAUAACAAUGUUGGCAUCGAUAUGUGAAUAGCAGCUAUUUUCGUAUAGAAUGUAGAGACCAUCGGAGUGAAUGAAAUUAGAACAGCGAUUAAUUGCCCGAUGAUAAAUCAAGGGAAGAGCGGAACUAGUUGUAAUAUGAAAGUCUCUAGAGUCCAAAUCUGGAUCGCUCACUGGCCGCCCAUCGGACCUGUGGUCGAUGUAGAAGACUUUGCUUUGCAAAUGUACUGCUAUUUAAAUAAAUAAAUUUAUCUGGCAAUGAUUUGCCUUCCUCCAAACAUCUUUGACACUUUCUAGAUUACAAAAAUCAGCAAAUGUGCAUGAUGUUUUUUUCAUACAAUGGUUUCGUUGUGUUCUACUAUUGCAAAUCAAAUGUUUGCUCGAUACGAUUUUCACGAUUUUGCCCUUGAAGUUUGGACUUCGGCAGCUGAUCAUACACAACGCACGUCAAUAGAUAAAUACAUUCAUUAUUUAUCCGGUUCAUGCGAGAGGACUCAAGUUCGUAAUAUAAUGAAAUUUCUCGUAAAUUGAAACUUUACAAGCGGCGCAGCCAUAGACCUAUUGGCAUUUGUUAACUCUGACUUGCAGUUGAAGCGUUUGGCAGCUUAAUCUAUUUCUUUCAAUCAGUUUUUUCGAUAACAUUCAAUUCAUUUAAUUGGAGAUAAUCAGUUUUGCUCAGUGUGCGCUUCUUUCAUUCAUUUUCACUAGCACUGCUUCCAAAUCCGUUAGUUUUUCGCGACUUAAAACACCAACAAACUCGAUGUCUUCAUUAUCAGUUGCGGUUUUGCCUGCCACCUUUUCUACUACUUAACUAUUUGAACUAUUCUCAAAUCGACUUGCUCAAACCUGGACCCAUCAUCAUUUCCAUUAAAAAAAUAAAGGUGUUCAAAAAAUGAAUUAUAUUCAGUGUCAUUUAAAGCUGAAAACUGGUCUUCACAUGAAGAUGUUCUUAUUGCGUAAUGGACGGUUUCUUCAUUCGUAAUGACAGCGUUUGAGCCCGUUUACUCUACACUUAGUUCCGUUAGGAGCCCAAAGAAGUAACAUAAACAAUAAAAAGUGAAACUAGCUGUUUGUGGCCGGGCCCUGAUGCAAGAACGUGAACAUGAUCAUAAUACGAACUGUGUUUGUUUCUAGGUGUUUAAUUUCAGUUGAAAUAUAAGGUUUCAAGGAAACCUUGUCGAAUGACGAAAGCCUGAAAUGUGCGCCUAAUUUUGGCCAUAAUAUUUCGGUUGUGAAACGUGGUCUUUGUAUUAAUAGAUUUGCAUACCAUCCGGCUGGUUGGCCUUGUUUCGGCAGAACUGGAAGCGAUAUUAAUAAAAAUGAACGCGUUUCAGAGGACAAUUAAUCUCCAGAAAAACAAAAACAUUUUGGCAAUUGUGCGAAGAUUAUUCUCCUGCCUAGUUGAAACUGCACGCGAAACUCACUCAAUUAACUCUGACCGAUAGUAUAAUUGCAUUUUUAGUGGAACUCGUUUGCCGUUGAAAAAAACUGGUUUAAAUACGAACACAACAUUCUAGACUGUAGUAGUUUAACAUUAAAUACCUUUAAAAUGUUUUUUUAUUUAGUGGAUUCUUCAUCUGCUCAUCUGUUUGAGCUCAAUGUUGGUCGUUCUGUAAAGUAGUAGUAAAGACAAUGUAGCUGGAAUUUUAUAUUUUAUUUCUUGUUUUGCCAUGCAGAAGACGGUGUUUCCAGAAGGCUUUUAUCGUUUAGCCAACUGACAGAAUAUCAGCCUAAAUAUGUAUGUGGAUCAUCAAAGUUCGCUGGUUGUUCGAGAUAUUGGCAACAUAAUUAUUUGAGAUAAUGUCGAGUACAGCGUAUUUUUAGACGGUUGUUAAUGUUAUAUACAUUAGGAUGUGUGUAAUGAGCGACAUCAAAGGCAUAUUAAAGGACUGCCAAAUCAUAUUUAUAUCGAUGCAGUGAUGGUAACUUGUGCACUAAAUUUUGCAUAAUACAUUUAUAGCUUGGAUAUUUAUGGGCCAUGAGUCGAUAUUGUUAAGUGUACAUACACGUCUUGAAUGUGUAUUACCAUAAAAUUUCCAAUAUUCCGUGAAAAUGUCGUUUAUAAGAACUUUUAUUGAAGGAUUUUUACGUGCUGCGCAAACUUGAUGAAGUUCUAUAAAUAUUAAUUCGAUCCCCAUGUUUAGGAACUGCUUGAUAAAACCAUAUCGAUAUUGUUGUUCCAAGUUUCCCGACAAAAAUUAAAUGUUGCAACCAAGGCUAUGUUUACUCAUCAUUUCCUUUGGCUUGAUGAUGGCUGGCCAACAAAAUAGCCAAUUCAAUCACUGAGGAUUGCAGAUUUCACUCAAUCAUUUCCUGUGCAAAUUUAAAAUGUUGACAUUUUUUCAAUUGUCUUUUCAAUUGUCGUUUCAAGUUGAUCAUGGAAUUUGGUAAUAAAUACUGAUAAAGCCUGCCAACAGGCUUAUUACAUUAUAAUGUAUCCAUAAUUAAUAAACACUGAUAAGAUAAUAUGGAACCCACUAUAAUUAAAAUCAGAAUAUUAUGUCAUGUUGUUUGCGAGAUACCUAUUUACUUUGUUUUUAAUAAUUGAAGCAACCGAAAACUGAUCCUCUUGAAUGACAAAACAACAAUGUUUUCGUUUUAAUUAUAAUUUAAUAAUAUUGGGCAAAAACAUAAGGGAAAAACAAGCAUAUUUGAUAAAAGUUUGGAGUAACAAUGACAGUUGUUCUAAAGUAUU